GAAAUGCGAUAAUUAAUGUGAAUUGCAGAAUUCAGUGAAUCAUCGAGUCUUUGAACGCACAUUGCGCCCCCUGGUAUUCCGGGGGGCAUGCCUGUCCGAGCGUCAUUGCUGCCCUCAAGCACGGCUUGUGUGUUGGGCUUCCGUCCCUGGCAACGGGGACGGGCCCAAAAGGCAGUGGCGGCACCAUGUCUGGUCCUCGAGCGUAUGGGGCUUUGUCACCCGCUCCCGUAGGUCCAGCUGGCAGCUAGCCUCGCAACCAAUCUUUUUAUCCAGGUUGACCUCGGAUCAGGUAGGGAUCCCCGCUGAACUUAAGC
rnacentral:misc_RNA from 1 species